GGUCCAGCCCAGCUGGGACAGUGAAGGUUCCCUGUUCAAGGGGACUCUGUUCCUUGGACAAUGAUUGCUUCCUUUAUGCUCUGGAGUCCAGCAGAGACUGACACACAGUUGGGGCUAAACACGUCUGAGGGUGAUGAAACUCCCAUUUCUGACGCCGUCAACUUGUUUUCUGUAAUGUUAGCCCUGCCAUAUUCCAGCUCGACAGAGCUUGGGCAGCCCGAGGUGGUGACUGUAUUUGGCCAUCAGCCAUGUCCCUUGCAGGGCCAGUCUCUGAG
rnacentral:lncRNA from 1 species